UACGAAGGGGGCUAGCGUUGCUCGGAAUUACUGGGCGUAAAGGGCGCGUAGGCGGACAGUUUAGUCGGGGGUGAAAGCCCGGGGCUCAACCUCGGAAUUGCCUUCGAUACUGGCUGUCUUGAGUACGGGAGAGGUGUGUGGAACUCCGAGUGUAGAGGUGAAAUUCGUAGAUAUUCGGAAGAACACCAGUGGCGAAGGCGACACACUGGCCCGUUACUGACGCUGAGGAGCGAAAGCGUGGGGAGCGAACAGG
rnacentral:rRNA from 1 species